rnacentral:tRNA from 1 species
UUUCUCUUAGCUUAAUUAAAAGUUUUAGUUUGAAGAGCUGAAGAUAAUAUGAAUAAUUAGGGAUAC